GGUUGUGGCUCAGUGGUAAUGCACUCGCCUCACACAUGAAAGGCCCUGGGUUCGAUCCUCAGCACCA
rnacentral:tRNA from 1 species